rnacentral:tRNA from 1 species
GCCUGGGUGGCUCAGUCGGUGAAGCGUCUAACUUUAGCUCAGGUCGUGAUGUCCCAGUUUGUGAGUUCGAGCCCCACAUCAGGCU